GGGGCUGUGGCUCUGUGGUUAGCCUCUGCUUAGCAUGCAGAAGGUCCCAGGUUCAAUCCUCAGCAUCUCCA
rnacentral:tRNA from 1 species